GGGCGUAUGGUUUAGGGGUAUAACGUUCGCUUCGCAUGUGAAAGGUCCGGGGUUCAAUUCCCCGUUCGUCCA